UACGUAGGGUGCAGGCGUUAAUCGGAAUUACUGGGCGUAAAGCGUGCGCAGGCGGUUUGCUAAGACAGGUGUGAAAUCCCCGGGCUUAACCUGGGAACUGCGCUUGUUACUGGCAAGCUGGAGUGUGGCAGAGGGGGGUGGAAUUCCACGUGUAGCAGUGAAAUGCGUAGAGAUGUGGAGGAACACCGAUGGCGAAGGCAAUCCCCUGGGCCUGCACUGACGCUCAUGCACGAAAGCGUGGGGAGCAAACAGG
rnacentral:rRNA from 1 species